rnacentral:rRNA from 1 species
AGUGAACGCUGGCGGUAGGCCUAACACAUGCAAGUCGAACGGCAGCACAGUAAGAGCUUGCUCUUACGGGUGGCGAGUGGCGGACGGGUGAGGAAUAUAUCGUAAUCUACUUUUUCGUGGGGGAUAACGUAGGGAAACUUACGCUAAUACCGCAUACGACCUACGGGUGAAAGCAGGGGAUCUUCUGACCUUGCGCGAUUGAAUGCGCCGAUGUCGGAGUUGCUAGUUGGGGGGGUAAAGGCCCACCAAGGCGACGAUCCGUAGCUGGUGUGAGAGGAUGGUCAGCCACACUGGAACUGAGACACGGUCCAGACUCCUACGGGAGGCAGCAGUGGGGAAUAUUGGACAAUGGGCGCAAGCCUGAUCCAGCCAUACCGCGUGGGUGAAGAAGGCCUUCGGGUUGUAAAGCCCUUUUGUUGGGAAAGAAAAGCAGCAGGUUAAUACCCCGCUGUUCUGACGGUACCCAAAGAAUAAGCACCGGCUAACUUCGUG